ensembl:rRNA 5S_rRNA 5S ribosomal RNA
GCUUACGGUCACAACUACCCUGAGAACGCCCGAUCUCGUCUGAUCUCGGAAGCUAAGCAGGGUUUGGCCUGGUUAGUACUUGGAUGGGAGACCACCUGGGAAUACCAGGUGCUGUAAGCU